rnacentral:tRNA from 1 species
GGGCCGUUAGCGCAGCCGGUAGAGCAGCUGGCUCUUGGCUUGUUGGUCGGGGUUCGAGUCCGCCGCGGCCCA